rnacentral:rRNA from 1 species
AUUGAACGCUGGCGGCGUGCCUAAUACAUGCAAGUCGAGCGAACCAUUUCGGUGGUGAGCGGCGAACGGGUGAGUAACACGUAGGUAAUCUAACCAUUAGACGGGGACAACGACUGGAAACGGUCGCUAAUACAGGAUAGGACGAAAGUUUAAAGAUGCUUGGGCAUACCUAAGGGAUGAGCCUGCCGCGCAUUAGCUAGUUGGAGAGGUAAGAGCUCCCCAAGGCGACGACGCGUAGCCGACCGGGGAGGGUGAACGGCCAAACUGGGACUGAGACACGGCCCAGACUCCUACGGGAGGCAGCAGUAGGGAAUCUUCGGCAAUGGACGAAAGUCUGACCGAGCAACGCCGCGUGAAUGAAGAAGGCCUUCGGGUUGUAAAACUCUGUUAUAGGGGAAGAAAGACACGAGUAGGAAAUGGCUCGUGAGUGACAGUACCUUAUGAGAAAGCCACGGCUAACUACGUGCCAGCAGCCGCGGUAA